rnacentral:lncRNA from 1 species
UUGAGGUAUACUGAUGGUCUUAGAACAUGAUACAAGUAUGGUACUAGCGCAUGGUAUUGGGAUGUUACAACAGAAUUGAGGUUGUGUCUUUGAGCAGAGUAUAUUUAGGUGAGAUUGUAGUGUUGUAUAAGAAGGUCAUAAGAGAGAUGUAUAAGAUGUUUGAUCGCACAUAUUGCACUAGAUCAUAGAAGCAAAAAAAUGCAAUAUAAUAC